rnacentral:rRNA from 1 species
CAAUAGCGUAUAUUAAAGCUGUUGCGGUUAAAAAGCUCGUAGUUGGAUUUCUGUCAAGGACAACUGGUCCGCCCUCCGGGUGAGCACAUAGUUUGGUCUUGACAUCUUGCUGGAAGCUGUUGCUGCACUUGGCUGUGUGGCGCAGUGUUCAGCACUUUCACUUUGAGGAAAUUGGAGUGUUUCAAGCAGGCACAUGCCUUUGGACACAGUAGCAUGGAAUAAUUAGAUUGGGCUUUUGCUCCAAUUUGUCGGUUUCUGGAGCUGAGGUGAGUAUUAAUGGGGAUUGUUGGGGGCAUCCGAAUUUAGCCGUCAGAGGUGAAAUUCUUGGAUCUGCUAAAGACGGACAACUGCGAAAGCGUUUGUCCAGGAUGUUUUCAUUGA